CAAAAUUGAUCAUCUGCAUAAUUCAGAAUGCAUGCAAGACUGUGACUGACAGACAGACAGACAGACAAACACUCCAGAUCUGGGAGCUAAGAUGUAUCAAGUGAGCUUGCAGACGAAUGAGAGAUCGCAGACAAAACGUGAACUGUAGCAACUUCAAGCUUGCAAACAGCGCACUUCAACUUUAAAUCCCCUCAUCACAUGAUCUUCAAGGAUUACUUGCAGCUUGCUUGAUGUGAAGAAUCCUCAAAUUAUGGAAACAUCUCACCAAUGACUGGUACCACUAUAACCUACGAUGUGAGGAAGGCGAUCAACGGUACCCCGAAUGAGAUGCGUUCAGUGAAAGGAGCAUUGGACAUGAAGACCUCACAUUUUUUGGAUAAUGCCCAAGGAAUAGCAAGAUCUCCAGCUCUCUCUCUCUACGAUAGGUUAGCAGCACAACAUAACUGAAAAAAAAAGCAGAUGAGAUGGUGAAACGCUGAAGAUAUUCUAAACAAGAUUCUGCUUAUAUCCUUCAGUGGGCAGAAGGACAAGCCGGGCCAAAUUGAUGAUUUUCGUUUUCUGUGAAAGAACGAGGAUUUAAAAAAAAAAAUUAAAUUGGAAAUGUUAUAGCUUCUGUGCCAUUUUCCUGUAUAGAAGCUAUAAGGAAUCAGAGAUCCUGGGAUUGUGGUUUGCCUUCUUAAACCAAAGACAGAUUAAGCCCCCUGGUGAUAGCAAAAUAUUUUUGAGGGUUGACUUUACCUCUUCUUGUGUCAAUAGUAUUUAAACCUGUAUGUCUUUUCUACAUCCCUUCUGCUGUAACACUUACUAGUCAGCUUGUUAGAAAAGGGCUUAUCUAUUGAAUUCUAAACUCUGAUGAAUACUAAUUUUGUUAUUUUCCUCUCAAAACGUUUUAUUACUAUUUUUACAUUCCAAGUAAGCGAAAGACAAGCUGUUAUUACAUGUUAUAGUUUAUGGGGCCCAAGUUAUCAAAAUGGAUUUUUAUGUGGGGGCAAAAAAAAAAAAAAACAGAAAAACACUACGGGACACUCGAACAAUGUUUGUUGUUUGAUCUUUUGGAAAUGAGCACAAAAAUGCAAAAUUUCAGUUUUGGAUUGAUAUCAAUCGAGGUAACAGUGAAACCAGUUUAACCCUUGGCUUACUGACUGGCGGGAGCAACACUUUGCUUUACACUGCAUUGUCUCCCUGUCAUGUCAGCCAAACGGUUAAUCUCCUAGUGUCUUCUACUAAAUAGAUGUUGUUAGACUGUAUGUUGCUGAAUUUGAGCAGAACUCUAAGGAUACCCACAAUAUAUUUUUGGAAGAAGAAUUCUCCGGAAUGAUGUUGGACUUUUCCUAGUCCCUGAGACCCUAACUUGUGAGGAUUUUUUAGCAAUGAUCACAAGUUAGGCUCUUGGGACCUAGGCGGAGGGGAACCAGCAACUUUUGGACUGUAAUGAUUGUGUACCUGCGAUUAAGGAAUGAACCAUGUCACCGAAUCUGAGAUAAGAGCUGUAUUCUAAAAUGCUUUUUUUAAUUUUGUUUUGGUAUAAACUGUCCAUUUCCUUGCCUUUCGAACAACAUAUCCAGACAAUCGAUCAUAUACUCGUAAAGCUACAAAAGACUGUUUCACGUUAUUUUAAUAACGUCUUUUAUUGUGAAUUGUACAUAAAGUGAGAAUUAUACAAAAUAUUAAAGAC